UCAGCUAGUGAAACUCGUAUCCGGUCUGAGUACUAUGCUUAAAAUUUGAAUUUUAGUAUUGAUCAACAUUGCCUUAAAAAAAAUUACUUUUUCGUGAUCUAGGGGUUCAACCCUACCAGGAACUACCACCAUCCUUCUUGGGGCACUUUUCCUUCUUCGACGCUGCGUCGACUUCUCUGCUGACGUCGACUUCUCUGCUGACGUCGACAGCGGCAGAGUGUUUUUGCCUAAUGAUAUCCCAGUCGGAAAUGACUGCACUCCGGAACCGGUUCUUUCAUUAUGGAAGGGUCGAAAAAUACGUUUGCCUUCUACCACUUGACCACUUUUUCUGGCCAAGCAAGAUACUUGGCUUCUGUUAUUUGCAUCGUGCUAAAUUGGCUAAUAUCUAUUAGAAAUUUGAGUAAUGUAAAUGUAAAGCUCUUCAGAUUUAUAGAGUUCUACUUCAACAUGUAACAAUAGUUUUUGCAACAUUAACAUGUUAUAUUUAUUGAAAAAUAGUGGGCAUGACACGCCUUAAGAAAGUUUUAAGGAAGAAAGUAAUAUACAGCGUCAUCUUGUAGCCACAACAGGGCAAUUUGCUAUUUGAAAAUCAAAAAUGUGUAGUAGGACAUAUACAGACAUGGCCUGGCCCACUGUACGAGAUAUGAUGUUAUAUAUUAAUACUGACAUGGCCCACUGUACGCCAUAUGAUGUAGUGUAUUAAUACUGGCAUGGCCCACUGUACGAUACAAUAAGCGGAAAGCCUAGUUUAAGUUAACUGUAAGCGUUAUAUUGUCAUCCCUUUCUACCGAGUACUGCAGCAUAAGAGAUCGCAGAUACGUAUACCUACCUCGCUCACACAGAUGAGCGGGAAGAAGGACAAGGGAGAAUUGUGUCGGGACCCUGUGGUAUACGUUCGAGGAAAGCGGUUGCGGAAUUGAAAAAAAUUAAAAUUUAUAAACUUAAA